AGUUAAAACUUGUUUUAUGUGAAAAUAUUCUAACAUAGGACAAUCUAUAUGUAUCUUGGGAAGGCCCGUUUCCACUUUAAAAGUUUAAACCUCUAUUUCAAGAAAUAAAUGACCAUUAACAAAUUCUUAAUAUAAUAUCUAUAGAUGGCGAAGAAAAUGUAGGCACGAAACGCCCAAUUGGUUUCUCGGCGUUGGUUACUAUCGCUUUUUUCCAAUACUCAAGAAAUUAUAUGGUAUUGACGAAACCUAGAACAUAUGCUGCUGAGAUGAACGAAGAGUCUAGUAAAUAGAUGAUCUAAGAGAUCCCCAAAUGUUCAAAAUUUCUGAUAGAAAAAUACAUUCUGCC